rnacentral:lncRNA from 1 species
CUCUUCUCUUCUUCUUAGGAGCUUUUAGAACUAUGGAAACAAAGGUGAGAUGAUUCUGAAAUGACUUGGCUUUAUGCUUGCUUUACACCAGAAUUUAUUGUAGGGUUCUAAGUGUUGAUCUUGUUUAAAGAUUUUUGUAUUAGAAAAGUAGGCAUGCAACUUUCUUUACUCUUGUUUAUGGUGGGAAAUGUGUGUAUGGCAUCCCCUAUGUACAUGCAAGCACCAAU